AGUGAACGCUGGCGGUAGGCCUAACACAUGCAAGUCGAACGGCAGCACAGUAAGAGCUUGCUCUUCCGGGUGGCGAGUGGCGGACGGGUGAGGAAUACAUCGGAAUCUACUUUUUCGUGGGGGAUAACGUAGGGAAACUUACGCUAAUACCGCAUACGACCUACGGGUGAAAGCAGGGGAUCUUCGGACCUUGCGCGAUUGAAUGAGCCGAUGUCGGAUUAGCUGGUUGGCGGGGUAAAGGCCCAGCAAGGCGACGAUCCGUAGCUGGUCUGAGAGGAUGAUCAGCCACACUGGAACUGAGACACGGACCAGACUCCUACGGGAGGCAGCAGUGGGGAAUAUUGGACAAUGGGCGCAAGCCUGAUCCAGCCAUACCGCGUGGGUGAAGAAGGCCUUCGGGUUGUAAAGCCCUUUUGUUGGGAAAGAAAAGCAGCAGGUUAAUACCCCGCGGUUCUGACGGUACCCAAAGAAUAAGCACCGGCUAACUUCGUG
rnacentral:rRNA from 1 species